GACCAGGAGGACCCUCAUUUAACUGGCGUUAACACGAGUACCCACCUGCGCCUUCUUCUGCUUGACGGCGCUAGCGAUGGACGGAGCGUCCCCCACCACCACCUCGGACACGUCGCCCAACCCCGGCUCCGCCCCGUGCUUCCCCUCCUUCUUGGGCUGUAUGUUCAGCAGCUCGGCCAUCAGGUCGGCCUCCCCCGCUUCCCCCUGCGCCAUCUGAGCCAUCUCCGCCAACGCCGACGCCUCGCUCGCCUCCAUCUUCUCCAUCUCCAGCGCGUCUCCGUGGAUCCCGAACUGGGUGGGGUCCGGCAUGUUCCCCAAAAUGUCCGUGACCUUCAUGUUCUUGGCCCCUUCGACCAGGCCGCCCCCGAACAUGGUGGUCCACAAGAUGUGGAAGAAACCCCAAACCAGGCUGUAGACAAAGUGGAGGAGGCCCGUGAUGAUCACCCAGAAGAAAGAGAAGAAGCCCCUCACCAUCUCCCUCACGCUCAUCUUCCUGAACCUUCUGUACUGCCGCCUCAUGCUCUUCAGAGUGAGCAGCUGGCGGAAGUGGCACAGGCUCUUUUUCAGCGAGAUGCAGGCGACCGUAAAAGCCGAGGACGACUCGAACAUCCCGAUCUCCUCCUGGUCCUCCUCUUCCUCCUCCUCCUGGUUUUCCACCACGCCCUGCUUGUCCUCUUCGUCCUCCUCCGGGCGCUCCACCGGGUCCGGCUCCGAGAUCUGGGAAGCCAGCUGCAUCUCGAAGAUCGUGUCCUCGCAGAAGUUGACAAACAGUUCCAUCUUCUCGCUCUCGCCGCCUUCGUUGACGACGUCGAAGAUGAACUGCCGCUUGGACUCUUUCACCUGCGGCUUUUCCCACUGGGUGCGACUGGACUCGCUGAUCUCGAAGUAGACCCUCUCGAUGCGCUUUGCUCCGCCCAUGAUCUCGAUGCGGCCCAGGUAAGGCUCGAAGUAGCUGAGGACGCUCUCGGCCAGGUCGAGGAAGGUCGCGAGGCGAGCGUCGUGGGGCAUGUGCUCGGAGAGGUUGGUCAGCAGCACGGCCACGUUGAAGCCGAUGUCCUUGGCCGGCUCGUGGAACCUCUCCACAAACUGCUCGUAGUUGAACAUGUCGUUCUCGUCGGCCUCCGCGCACGAGAGGAGAAACUCGAUCUCGGAUUGGGAGUACUGUUUCUGGUUCUCCAUGGACUUUUGGAAAUCUUUCUUGGAGAUGACCCCUUUGCUUUCCGGGUCGUACUCCUUGAAGCUGUCCGAGGUGGUCAAGUCCUUUAA
ensembl:lncRNA